GAUGCAUCCGACACCAUGGAAGAAUCAUCAUCAUGUUCUUGUUUUGUUACUCCAUUGUCAUCAUCAAAAUGAUGCAAUGUAACAGAAGAAGAAUGGUCUAAGUACAUUGUCCAACCUGAUUCUCCCGCAUCGCUGCUUCAAGGCCUUUAAGAAGAAGAUACACUCUUUUGAUGCAGCCAUUGCAGAAGUUAUAAGGGCAUUGUUUGGAAAAAUAAAUAAAUAAAUAUAUGUAUAUAUAUGUAACAUAUCUCUUGAAAUUUAUUUCACUUUUGAAACUCUAAAAUAAAACAUAUGGUUGUCGAAAAAUACAAGCUAGUUUGGGGAGAAAUAUCCAAAAAAAUAUGUCAACCAAAUUUUGUUAAGCUUAUUAAUAUCUAAACUUUUUAGUAUUCAGUUUAAUACUUCAACUAAUAAUUUUUUUCAUUUUAAUACACUAACUUUAAAAUAAUGUUCAUUUUGAUUAUCAAACUAUGUUAAUUAUAAUCAUAAAUAUUACUCCCUCCGUUCUUUAAAGAUGUAUGUUUUGGAAAAAAAAUUUGUUUCAAAAAGAUAUAUUUUUUACUUUUUCAAUGUAUGAUUUUAUGAAAAAUUAUAAGUUUCAAAAAAAUUAAUGGUGUUUAUUGAAUUUCUAUUGGUCAAAAGUUAUGAAAAAUUGUUAUUCACAAAAAACAAUGUAUAUGUAAUGAGUUUUCUUAAUAUAUGUGAAAAGUCUAGAAUAUGCAUUUUUUUUUAAAAACAGAGGGUGUAAUAGAUUUCAACUGAAAAAAAUUCUAAACUCAUAAAAAAUAUUUGAAAAUAUCUAAUUUAAUUUUAAAAUUUUAUGAAUAAAAAACUAACUAAACUUUGGAUGAUAUUUUAAAUUGUAGAAAAACUUAAUUUUGAAUGAAAAUAAAUAAAUUAGUAUUAAGUUUCAGACAAUAUAUUAAAUUUGAUAUUAUAAAUAAAACUAAAAUUUUAUAUUUUAUAUUUUAAUUUUAAAGUAUCCAUGAUAAUUAUAUUUUUAUUUUGAAACUUAAAAUAAAAUUAGUAAAUUUUGCAGAUUUAUUUUUUGAAUUUUGGAGAUUUUUAAUUUUCAUAAAACAUUAUCAAUAUUUUUUUUUGGAAGAAUAGUUUGUAAGCAAGUAUUAAACUCGGUAGUAAAAAAAUUUUGGUAUCAAAGAUAUUUUAUUUUGACCGAAAAAGAUAUUUUAUUUUUUUCAAGUUGGGGUUUUCACUUUUCAGUCACCUACUAAUCUAGAAUCAAUACAUUAUGAUAUUAAAAAGCGUUUAAUUUUGUCUUAAGUUUGUUUAAAGUGAGAUCAUUCUUUCUUUUGUUUGUUCUUCCACCUAUAGUAAAUUAAUCCAACAUAUCAUUGGAGAUUGAAAUGAUGUGAUAAUUUUUGACAUUUUGUAUGAGAACAAACAAAAUUAUUUUAUUCUUGUCGUUUUAAGUCUAAACUUGAGAUCGAAUACAAAACUCAAAAAGACAAGAAAGGCAAUAUAAUUUAAGAAAUGUUUUGUCUCAUAGCGCAGAGCUCGUUUUGGACACUCUAGCUUGCAUUCAGUAGAUAAUUGACAGUUGGCUAACUGAUUAUAAACGUUGGGCCAAGAAACGGCCAUAGUUUAGUGGUAGUAGUAAUAGAUGUCACGUACUAUUCAUUUACAUCCCAUCUUACAAAAUACUUUACACCUACGCCCGGCACCAUCCUUUAUAGGUGACUACCUCAGAAAUUUAUACUUUAAAAUGGAUAAUAGAAGCAAUUGUAUUGUGUUACAAAAAAAAAAAAAAAAGAAGCAAUUGUAUUACUUGUUUUCUUUUGCUUAAAUAAUUGUAUUACUUGUUACGAAAACAUGAGUAGGUAUUUAAUUGUUUAUCCCAUAAUAACCUUAUUACGUAUUUUGAAUCGUUUCUGGUAUUGACGCAAUCUGAAUCAUGCAAUUGGAUAGUAUUUUUUUAAGUUAUUUUUAGGUAUCAAAUGAGUAUUUAGGUUACCUUUGGAUUUUUUUUUUGUUGAAUAUGAAGAAUUUUUUUAAAAAAAAUAUAUAAUUUUGAUAUUUUAAAAAUUAAAUUUAUAUUUUUUUAAUAGAAUUUUGAUAUUUAGGCUACCUUUGUAUUUUUCUUAUUUUAUCAAACUCUAUACUCCCCCCCUUUAUGUUUUAGAAGAUAUUUUUUGUUUCAAAAUAGAUAAUGUUUUGAUAUUUUUAUAUUAUUUUUAGCUAUACGGAAAACUGUGUAGCCAAUCAGAUUUUUCAGUCAUUUUUAUAAUCGGUUGAAUUAUUUUUAAAACAUAUUUUUAAAGUUGCUUUUUUAGAGGAAACUAAAUUUUUUAAUAUUUGUGCAUCAAAGUAAAACAUCAUAUAUUGUGAAACAGAGGGAGUAUCAUUUAAAAUAUGGAAAUGAAUAUUAUUAGAAUUAUGAAAAUAAAUUAUUUUACAGCGAUCGUCAAAGAGAGAGAAGCGAGAGAAGAGAGAGAAGCGAGAUCUACUCCGGCGUACGGCCGGUGCGUGAGCGUCCGUGCCGUCACCGGAGCCUUGUUUUCCUUCUUGGUUUGUGGUCCUUAUCGCUUCCUCUUCACAGAUCCGUCAACGGUUGCCUUGUCGGAGCUCUAAAGCCGAGGUUUUCCAUUAGAGGAGAGUCGGUUUUUGGAGUAACGACGCGGCCGUUUUGAAGGUUCGCGGUGGAGAUGGAGCGGCGUGCAUGUUGCAGUCGUUCUACCCGGGAGAUGGAGGCUAACCUAGAUCCAUCAUCGCCGGUCUUGUCGCGGGGUAGGGUGGAGGCUUUCUCAGUUCUACCGACGCCGCUCUAGCUUCCGGGAAGAGGAGGCUCAAUCAGCUCCUUCUUCGCCGGCUUUUGGUCACGGAGGGUGGAGGCUAACAAAGCUCCGCGCUGUCGUUGUGGAAUCCCAGGUCUUUUGGGUUGAGUUUAGGGUUUCGAGUUCUUGAAGGUUGAGGUGUGUCUUGGGUCGCAGCGGUUGAGAUCUUAAGAAGAAGAAGAUCUCCGGCGACGGUUGUGUUUGUUUGAAGAGGAGGUUAGCGGUGGUUCUCGGCGUGCUUGUCUAGGGUUUCCGGUGAUUCAUAGGCGGAAGAGAUCUCGUUUCAAACGAUUGAACUCUCCGACGGGAAGACAAGGCGUCGAAGAAGUCCGAUGGCGCGGAGGCUCUGUAGGCGCGGAGCUCCGGCGGAAAAGGUGUGACGGUGGAAAGCGUCGGUGGCUGUGCGAGGAUGGAGGGUCUAAGUUGAGGCAGGCGACACGUGGCAGGCGGAUGAGCCAGAUUCUUACGCGUGUUCGGCUCUGCCUCCUUCCCGCGCGUCCAGAGCAAGCCCGGCGUCGCUGGUUGUGGGCCUUGGGCCAUGUUUCUUAUUUGGGCUUCGGCCGUUUCUUUUUGUUGCCCACCUGUUAUUUGGGUUUUCUGGUUUGUAAUCCGGUGAAUUUGGGCUUCGGCCGGCUAGGCCCAUUUGAUCAAUAUAAUUUCAAUUUGAGGAAAAAAAAAUUAUUUUACAGUGACCAGAUAAAGUUUGUGAUAGCACUUGGGCUCAGAUUCAGAUAUUGGAACUUUAUAGAGCACCAACAUUUCUGAUAUGUGAGACAAUACUUUAGCUAUUAAAAAUUAAAAAAAAUAGU